AACUUUCAGCAACGGAUCACUUGGCUCUCGCAUCGAUGAAGAACGCAGUGAAAUGCGAUAAGUAAUGUGAAUUGCAGAAUUCAGUGAAUCAUCGAAUUUUUGAACGCAUCUUGCGCUCCUUGGUAUUCCGAGGAGCAUGCCUGUUUGAGUGUCAUUUGACUUCUCUCAACCACAUCAUCAUCAUGAAUGUGGCUUGGAUGUGGGGGAUUUUGCAGGCUUCUUUCUCAUAGUAGUCUGCUCCUCUGAAAUGCAUUAGUGGUGUCUGAGCUGCUAUUUGGUGUGAUAAAUUAUCUAUGCCUCUGGUAUGCUGGUCAGCACUGCUCAUAAACAAAAAUGUUAUAUUUGACAAAUUUGACCUCAAAUCAGGUAGGACUACCCACUGAACUUAAGCAUAUCAAUAAGCGGAGGCU
rnacentral:misc_RNA from 1 species